UACGUAGGGCGCAAGCGUUGUCCGGAAUUAUUGGGCGUAAAGAGCUCGUAGGCGGUCCGUUGCGUCCGCUGUGAAAACCCGGGGCUUAACCCCGGGCUUGCAGUGGAUACGGGCAGACUAGAGGCAGGUAGGGGAGAAUGGAAUUCCCGGUGUAGCGGUGAAAUGCGCAGAUAUCAGGAGGAACACCGGUGGCGAAGGCGGGUCUCUGGGCCGAUACUGACGCUGAGGA
rnacentral:rRNA from 1 species